GUUUGACCCGCGGUGGUAAGGUGUGUCGAAUCGAAUAGGUUGAAAAUUUGUUCGACGAGUUGGAGAGACUAGGACCACAAAUUGAAGAUCCAAAUAAGGUAGAAGAAAUGUUCCUGAACAACUUAAAAAUCUAGUGAGAAAAGUGUUAAGCUCACAAAGUAUGAAUAGUUUCUCCUGGUCAAGAAAACUUUAGCAGGUUGUUUGAAGAAAUCUGAACAGACCCACAAAUAACUUAAACAAAGGCCAUUUUCAGUUGACAGAGAGGGAUUCGACUUGAGGUGUUACAGUGUGCUGUGUCGAAUUCUUGAUAGAAGCAAUAUUCACUAUGGUGUAUACUGUGUACACGUUUAACUCGGUAUACCAAACUGAUUAACCAGAGACUGUUUUACAUGUUGAUCAGCCAAAUUAAAGGAAGCUUUUGAACCUUAUUGCUACUACAAACAGUGCAUAAUUUUGUUUUCAAGAGGCUUGUACAGUUUGAAAAAAAUGCUGCAGUAUUUCUUUUGAGAUUUUGAGUAAUAGUAUUACUAACAUAUUUUAUAGUCAUUACUAAAUUACUGGCAGAAACAUUUUCGUUAAUUUGGAUGAGCAUCUUCCAAUAUAUUCUUUCCAUUUUUAGAAAUUAAACUAAAAUUUUUCUUUUAUUUGACUUUAUAUUAAAAUUAAAUAAAAUAAUUUUAUAAAAUGUUUUAAAAGUUAAAAA